rnacentral:rRNA from 1 species
UACGAAGGGGGCUAGCGUUGCUCGGAAUCACUGGGCGUAAAGGGGUGCGUAGGCGGGUCUUUAAGUCAGGGGUGAAAUCCUGGAGCUCAACUCCAGAACUGCCUUUGAUACUGAAGAUCUUGAGUUCGGGAGAGGUGAGUGGAACUGCGAGUGUAGAGGUGAAAUUCGUAGAUAUUCGCAAGAACACCAGUGGCGAAGGCGGCUCACUGGCCCGAUACUGACGCUGAGGCACGAAAGCGUGGGGGAGCAAACAGG